rnacentral:rRNA from 1 species
UACGUAGGGUGCGAGCGUUGUCCGGAAUUAUUGGGCGUAAAGAGCUCGUAGGCGGUUUGUUGCGUCGGCCGUGAAAACUUCACGCUUAACGUGGAGCUUGCGGUCGAUACGGGCAGACUUGAGUUCGGGAGAGGGAUGCGGAAUUCCAGGUGUAGCGGUGAAAUGCGUAGAUAUCUGGAGGAACACCGGUGGCGAAGGCGGCAUCCUGGACCGGCAUUGACGCUGAGGAGCGAAAGCCAGGGGAGCAAACGGG